GGAGCACUUGAAUUAUUUACACUGUUACGAUUGUCUUUUAAAGCUUGACGGAGGUGUAGAUUUCCGACUUGUAUGCGUUCUAUAUACAUAAUUUUAGUUGAAUUAUAGUAUGGCGCUUCGAGACCACAGUGUAAAUAGAUAUAUUAUAUGUAAAUGAUGAUCAAUAGUUAGUAAACAUUUGUGUCAUUUAAAAUACAUCUGGCAUAGAAUGACCGUAUUAAAAUGCAAUAUGAAUAAAUAUUUCGGUUUUCAUGAGCUAGAUUGACAUCAUCCCUGCAAUGGCUACAUUUUUAAGAAUGUUUAAAAUUUUUGGCGUACUUUGGACACAAUUUUAACGAAGUAGAAUCCUGACUGGAAAUAUAACUUUUACGUCACUUUUAUACAAUUUGGUGGUUUAUGAUGUAUUCGUGUCAGCUUUAGGAAUGUUUUUCAGAUGUUCAGACUCAUUUGGUUUUUGAUACGAUACAGGGUAAAUCAUUUUGACCCAU
rnacentral:lncRNA from 1 species